GCAUUGCUGAGGAGUUCUACAAUAGGAUGAAACGGCCGUCCAAUGC
rfam:Schistosoma margrebowiei strain Zambia genome assembly, scaffold: SMRZ_contig0008236